CACACAUAAAGGACAAAUAAGCUCAAGAGGAGGAUCUAGAUGCUUUCAGUUUUAACUAUUCACCAAUAGUGGAAAAGGCAGAAUGUCUAAGCUAUGGCUUGGUGACCAAUAGGGUAGCUGUGUAUCUCUCACAUGACUCACUGCCCCUGUCUUUCACAUGGGCUGUAAUUUAGUUCAAUUCAGAACUGCAGAUAGUACGGCUUCCACAGGAGCAAGGGAUGCCUGAGCAGAAGUGGCUGAGUUCCUAGUGACUUUACGAAGGACUUCUCCGCCUUCCUGCGGCACGAAAACAGGGAUUCUGCACCUGCACUGGGGACGGGCUGGUAAAAGCCUCUGCUCUGCCUCCGGGGACCAGGAACUACAGCAAAUAACCAUGUUGAAAUUGAAAAAUAAAAGACAAACUUUGCUGACUCCACUGACAAGGGCACGGCGGACUUUCCAGACAUCUGACAGUUAUUAUAAUUAGCUAUGAAAGACUGCUAAGACACUUGGAGGCAAACAGCUCUUAAAUUCUGAACAAUGGCUUCAAGCCAGGGCUUUCUUUUUAUUUAAUUUCUAACCACAGGUUUAAUUUUAUAAUUGUGAUAUCGACUGCACUGGUUUCAGGGUUUUCAUCCACAAAAUGUGAAAUGAAGUCGCAGCACAAGUAAAGGCGACCGAAAGUGGCCAGUGUAAAGAUACAAGGAAAAGACAGCUUUCUGUCUUAGGAUUCAGCCUUCCAUGUAUAAAGAUUUUUUUUUUUUUUUUUGAAAUUCCUAAUAGGGUGGAGUGAAGAUGUGGGGGUGGGGAGGAAGCAUGCGGAAGCUUCUUUAUAGAAGAAUGCUUGAAGAAUAAAAUAAUUUGGGAUUUCUUCUUGCCAGAGGGCAAAAGAUAUGGUUAACAUCUAAGUUGCAUUCAUGGUAAGAUUUUUUUGAUAGAGUUUCAAACAGAAGCUAAGUACAAAACAGUUUUUAAAAAAAAAAAAAAAAUGUAUACAAUGAUUGGAAACAAAUGGAGGAGACUGUUCCUAUAUUACUGCUUCCUUUUAUAUUCAGCUAGGGUAAUCUAGCAAUGCAAUAUGCCUGUACUUCUAGAAUCAUCCAAAUCCUUAAAAAGUUAUAAGCUAAGUCUCAUAAGAAAUUAAAAGGCAAAUCAAAUCAAUGUGAUUAUGACUGGUGAAGAUUUUUGAAUGACAAAGCCACCAACAAAAAGAGAGUUUAUAAGAACACUCUACCCUACUCAUUUUUAAAAGAGAAUAUUAACUCCAUCAAUUAUUGAAAGGAAUUAUUCAAAGGCUCCAGACAUAACUAAUUAUGGCUUAGAGAGCUGCCAGAGCAGAGCCUGUGUUCUAAUUAUAAAAGUCCAAGACGUUCAGAAUCAUUUUUUAAGGAGGACUCUGACACAAAUUUUUGUAUAAUCUUUUAAAAAUACACCAUUUUUUUUCUUUGUCUGCUCUCAUGUUAUCUACACCUCCCCCACCACCGCCCACUGUGUGUGGAGACACCUGAAGGCUAGACAUAAUGAUCAACAGAGCUCCAGCCUGUCUGGACUCCAGCCAGGUUUUUUUUCCCCCCUUCUACAAUCAAGGAGCUUGCACGCAAUGCAUGCCGAGCCUAUUCCACUGCUAUGUGCAGAUCUGGGAUGGAAGUCUUACACAUACUGCGGAAAGAUUAAAGACAACAAUAUCCCCUUUCUCUUACCCUAGACAGACUCAAUGUUUAACCCUUUCAUUACCUUCAAAGCAAGGAAUCCAAGCCACUCAAAGGCAGGUCUCAGGGGACCCUGCAACUCCUGCACCGUAUUACAUAGAAGCACAUGCCUCAUUUGGUGGAGAAAUCUCAUCUCGACCGAUCCCAUCAGGAUAUUUUAGGAUUAGCAAUGUGUUAAAGAAACAAAACAUAAUUUGCUUCUGUGGGCAAUACAUUUUUGCAGGAACUUAACCUCGAUGAAAUGUGGAAAAAGUCAAAGGUCUAUGGAAAGGUUCUUGCAAACCUUGCAGAAGGUUAUGUUCCAUUUCUGAUGAUGCUGUUCUUUAAGUGUCUCUGUCUCUCUCGUUCUGUCUCUCAUAUGCGCACUCAAGACAUAUACAUCAGCCAAGCAAGUACAUCAUUAUAUUGUAGGAACCCAGGUAGCUGGUGAUGUCAUCACAGAUAGAAUUUCUCCUUUGUGGGCUCCCUUUUCAGUCAUCUAAUCACCAAUGUCAGUUGGGUGUGUGCCCAAAGGAAGUUCGUAUGUUUGUGGGGUUAACCGACACCCAGACAGACACCCACAGGAAAGGACUAUUUUAUUUGUAUCUCUCUCUCUCUCUCUCUCUCUCUCUCUGUCUCCCCUCUCAGAUGUGUUUAUGGAGCAGUAAGGAUAUAUUUAACAAGAUAUAUGUAGUGAGGCAGAGUUUUCUGGUUCUAGGAACCUUAUUAAUAUGCUGGUUGAAUAUUUCCAAGGUGGCUGCAUUUCAAUAUGAAUAGGUUGUAGAAAUGUUGAGUAUUUUGAAAACAUUCAGAUAGAAAUGAUACAAUACUGAUAUUUCUUAUGAGUUGG
ensembl:lncRNA